rnacentral:rRNA from 1 species
GACGAACGCUGGCGGCGUGCCUAAUACAUGCAAGUUGAGCGCUGAAGGUUGGUACUUGUACCGACUGGAUGAGCAGCGAACGGGUGAGUAACGCGUGGGGAAUCUGCCUUUGAGCGGGGGACAACAUUUGGAAACGAAUGCUAAUACCGCAUAAAAACUUUAAACACAAGUUUUAAGUUUGAAAGAUGCAAUUGCAUCACUCAAAGAUGAUCCCGCGUUGUAUUAGCUAGUUGGUGAGGUAAAGGCUCACCAAGGCGAUGAUACAUAGCCGACCUGAGAGGGUGAUCGGCCACAUUGGGACUGAGACACGGCCCAAAAUCCUACGGGAGGCAGCAGUAGGGAAUCUUCGGCAAUGGACGAAAGUCUGACCGAGCAACGCCGCGUGAGUGAAGGAGGUUUUCGGAUCGUAAAACUCUGUUGGUAGAGAAGGACGUUGGUGAGAGUGGAAAGCUCAUCAAGUGACGGUAACUACCCAGAAAGGGACGGCUAACUACGUG